GUUUACGGCCAUACCAGCCUGGGUACGCCCGAUCUCGUCUGAUCUCGGAAGCUAAGCAGGGUCGGGCCUGGUUAGUACUUGGAUGGUAGACCUGCCUGGGAAUACCAGGUGCUGUAAGCU
rnacentral:rRNA from 1 species